rnacentral:rRNA from 1 species
UACAGAGGGUGCGAGCGUUAAUCGGAAUUACUGGGCGUAAAGCGCGCGUAGGCGGCUUGUUAAGUCAAAUGUGAAAUCCCCGAGCUUAACUUGGGCAUUGCAUUCGAUACUGGCAAGCUAGAGUAUGGGAGAGGAAGGUAGAAUUCCAGGUGUAGCGGUGAAAUGCGUAGAGAUCUGGAGGAAUACCGAUGGCGAAGGCAGCCUUCUGGCCUAAUACUGACGCUGAGGUGCGAAAGCGUGGGGAGCGAACAGG